rnacentral:rRNA from 1 species
UUUAUCCUACGGGAGGCAGCAGUGAGGAAUAUUGGUCAAUGGGCUUACGCCUGAACCAGCCAAGUCGCGUGAGGGAAGACUGCCCUAUGGGUUGUAACCCUCUUUUGUCAGGGAGCAACGCCGGCUACGUGUAGCCGGACUGAGAGUACCUGAAGAAAAAGCAUCGGCUAACUCCGUGCCAGCAGCCGCGGUAAUACGGAGGAUGCGAGCGUUAUCCGGAUUUAUUGGGUUUAAAGGGUGCGUAGGCGGACUGUUAAGUCAGCGGUAAAAGCCCGGGGCUCAACCCCGGCGAGCCGUUGAAACUG